rnacentral:rRNA from 1 species
CGGCUCAGUAACACGUCAAUAAUCUGCCCUUAGGUUCGUGAUAACCUCGAGAAAUUCGAGGCUAAACACGGAUAGGGAGUACGAAUUGGAAAAUGGUAUUCCAAAAACGUAAGGCCUAAGGAUGAGUUGGCGGCGGAUUAGGUCGUUGGUGAGGUAAAGGCUCACCAAGCCAAAGAUCCGUACGGGCCUUGGAAGAGGGAGCCCGGAGAAGGGUACUGAGAUACUGACCCUAGCCCUACGGGGUGCAGCAGGCGCGAAAACUUUACAAUGCACGAAAGUGUGAUAAGGGAAUCCCCAGUGCUCAUACAUUGUAUGGGCCUUUGCCAAGAGUAAACAUCUUGGCGAAUAAGUGGUGGGUAAGACCGGUGCCAGCAGCCGCGGUAACCCCGGCGCCACUAGUGGGAAUCGCGAUUAUUGGGUCUAAAGCGUCCGUAGCCGGUUUAAUAAAUCUUUAGUGAAAUCGUUGUGCUUAACACAACGGCGUGCUAAGGACACUGUUAAACUUGGAACCGGGAGGGGUUAGAGGUAUGUCGGGGGGGAGCGGUAAAAUGCAAUAAUCCCCGAUAGACCACCUGUGGCGAAGGCGUCUAACCAGAACGGAUUCGACGGUGAGGGACGAAAGCCAGGGGAGCAAACCGGAUUAGAUACCCGAGUAGUCCUGGCCGUAAACGCUGCGAGCAAGGUGUUGCAUAUUCUAUUGUGGAUAUGCAGUGUCGAAAUGAAGGUGCUAAGCUCGCCACCUGGGAAGUACGGUCGCAAGGCUGAAACUUAAAGGAAUUGGCGGGGGAGCACCCCAAGGGGUGCGGCGUGCGGUUCAAUCUAAUUCAACGCAGAGAAUCUCACCAGGAACGACGGCAGGAUGAAAGUCAGAUUAAAGGUCUUACUUGACGAGCCGAGAGGUAGUGCAUGGCCGCCGUCAGCUCGUGCUGUGAGGUGUCCUGUUAAGUCAGGUAACGAGCGAGACCCGUACC